rnacentral:rRNA from 1 species
CCCUUAGAUGUCCGGGGCCGCACGCGCGCUACACUGAAGGAAUCAGCGUGGCUUUCUCCCUGACCCGAAAGGGUUGGGAAACCCGUUGAAUCUCCUUCGUGAUAGGGAUUGGCGCUUGAAAUUGUUCCCCAUGAACGAGGAAUUCCCAGUAAGCGCGAGUCAUAAGCUCGCGUUGAUUACGUCCCUGCCCUUUGUACACACCGCCCGUCGCUACUACCGAUUGAACGGUUUAGUGAGGGCCUCGGAUUGGUCUCGGCCCGCUCUUUACCGGGCGGCGCCGUUGGUCGAGAAGACGCUCGAACUUGAUCGUUUAGAGGAAGUAAAAGUCGUAACA